UACGUAGGGAGCAAGCGUUGUCCGGAAUCAUUGGGCGUAAAGCGCGCGUAGGUGGCCUCAUAAGUCCGCUGUGAAAGUCAAAGGCUCAACCUUUGAAAGCCGGUGGAUACUGUGGGGCUAGAGUACGGAAGAGGCGAGUGGAAUUCCUGGUGUAGCGGUGGAAUGCGCAGAUAUCAGGAGGAACACCAAUAGCGAAGGCAGCUCGCUGGGACGUUACUGACACUGAGGCGCGAAAGCGUGGGGAGCGAACAGG
rnacentral:ncRNA from 2 species